rfam:Canis lupus familiaris chromosome 13, whole genome shotgun sequence.
GCCUGGGUGGCUCAGUGGUUGAGCGCUUGCCUUUGGCCCAGGGUGUGAUCCUGGAGUUCUGGGAUCGAAUCCCACAUCAGGCU